GGGCGUUGGAGAUGAAGCGGAAACAGUCGAGGAAGCCCUGAGCGUGGGCCAGGUCUGCUGCGGUCUGCCCGCUGGCAUUCCUUAAACUGAACAACAAGAGGUCAGACGGCGGGAUACUUACUGUGGUUUAGCACCUGCUAUCAACAGGACCUGGACACACUCCAAGCUACCUGAUCGAGCCGCCUUGUGAAUGGGAGCCUCACCUACAAAGUCCUGAAAACACAAUGGAAAAAUCUAUUGGGAUAUCCAUUUAUAAAGUGUUGAAGGACCGACCUGCCUGUUGAUGUCAGCUCCAGCCUGGGUCAGCCACACCACACAGUGAGGGUGUCCUCCGAACGCCGCGGUGUGUGUUGGUGUCUGGUUGAAGCGGCUGGUCA